AUAGUUACCUGGCGGGGGAGACACCAUGAUCACGAAGGUGGUUUUCCCAGGGCGAGGCUCAUCCAUUGCACUCCGGGUGUGCCGACCCUUGUGAUUGACUGCAUAGUUUGUGGUGGUUAAGAAGAUAC
rnacentral:snRNA from 1 species